AACUCCUUUGUCUCCUCUGGACUCCGGGUUCCUGCCGGGUGGUGUAGGGCUGGUUUCCCCAACAUCUGGUGCCGAAUGCAGGGCUCCCCGUAAUCUCUACAAAUAAUCUGGUGAAGGAACGCCAGAGCGUGGAAAGUGGAGGAGGACUGAGGAAGGAAGCCUGAGUACGUUUUCACUUCAAGCUCUACGGGAGGAUUGAGUACUCCAGGGGGAGUGAAUGUGAUGGGUUAUGCCUAAGGCUGAAUGAAAGCUGCUGGGUUGCUUUAGCUGUGAAAGUGGUCCAUUAUCACUCUUCAGACUUUCAGGUCCAGGCCACAGAUGAAAUUGUGCCAUACCUGGAACAAGCACUAAACCAAGUAUAACACCUUCCUUGGCUAUGCCUACAAAAUGGCACUUUUAUAUAUCCCUGGGACCAUCAUCCCGAUGAGGUGAAUUAUCCCCCUGAAACCUGCCUACAAAGAGAAUUGGGUCUUAUAUCUAGAUCCAUCAUCUGACUCUUUUCGUUUUCCUGCAGAGAUAUUGCUGGAGCAUGACAUAUAAGAUUCAUUUCAAAAAGUGAAUCUGAGAAAAUAUAGAAGCUGUGACCUUAAUAGUUUACAUUAAAAAAAAAAAGACUACCAAAGUGUGGAUAAUUGCAAGGGGCAGAAGAGCAGUUAUAAUGGCCUUCAUCAAUGUUUGUCAACUACCCAUAGCAAAACCUGUCAAUGAAAUAAAUGUGGCAAAGCUUUUGA
ensembl:lncRNA novel transcript